UACCUUCAAACCUUCCCCAGAAUGAGCGAUUGUGAGACCUCACAGACCAACUGAAGCCGCUCACGUUAACCUCGUAUCAUUGACGCCGGUACAUCGUCGAUGAUAGAGAAGAAUCACCUUCAAUCGGUAAUGCGUGGUCGACGUAGAACAAGAAUCAGCCUCAAUCGAAGAUCCACCGUCGGCGAAAAGCGAGAGUCAACCUUCAAUCGGAAAUGCGUUGUUGAUGAAAAUUGAUCGUUGACGAUGAUUGGGGUGGAGCGAUGCGUCGCCGCUUGAAGUGGAACGUAGAACGACGAUGCUCGAGUUGAAAGAUGAAGAACGGAAGCGAACCAAAUCUGAAAAGGUAUCGUCGAGUUUUUUCGCUUCUCUCUUAUGCUUCUGUUACUUCUUUUUUUUCCAACUCAAUCUCUCUUCUUCUCCUUUGAUUACUGGUCGAUUCGUGGAUCAUCGGUGAAGGAUUACCGAGCGUCUCCGUUUCUGGUAUUGUUGUUGUUGUGUUCUUUAGGUUUUUUUGAAAAAAAAAUCUCUGCUGUUCUUGAUGUAUUGUGUUCUGGUUUAGGGGUUUGAGAGAAAUUGUUAUGUUGUUCUUGAUUAGGUUUUUUUUGAGAAAAAAUAUCGUUACCGUAAUGUUGUUGUUCUUGUUGUGUUUGUUGUUGUUUUUUGAGAAGAAUUCUUACUGUAUUGUUUUCCUGUUAACCUCUCCUAAUCCAUUUUUGAAGACAAGAUUCAGACUUUAAAAAAAAAAAACUCCUUUCUUUUUCAAUUUGUCUCAUCCCAGAUUACGUGGGAUUUGGUUUUUUCUGUUUUAAGCUAAUGUUAAAAGUGUUUUUUGGAUAUUUAGAUUAACCUUAAGGAUAAAGCUUCAAACUGAAUGAUUCAUUUAGUUGUUUUUCAGCUUUCUAAGUGCUUUUGAAAAGUGCUUUUAAAAUAAGCUAUUUUUGUUUUCUGCAGAUUACAGGUUUGAAGAGACUUGAUGUAAAUUUUGAAAAGUGCUUUUAAAAUAAGCUAUUUUUGUUUUCUGCAGAUUACAGGUUUGAAGAGACUUGAUGUAAUGGAAGGUGGCUGCUACAAGCUUCAAGACAACCUGUUUUCGUGACUAAGUCCAAAUUGAUUUCAUCCUAAUUGCUUGAUUUUGGUCAUUAGGAACCUAUUCCCAUUUGUAGCAAAUUUCACUGUAAUUACAUUUGGUUUUUUUUUUAAGACAAAUGUGUGCUUGGAUUAUGUAACUUAUUGAAUUAAAAGUCUAAUAACCAUUAAUAAUUAUGUAUUCAACCUUUUAAUCUUUCAAAAUUUAACUUAAUAUUUAUUUAUG
rnacentral:lncRNA from 1 species